CCUACGGGAGGCAGCAGUAGGGAAUUUUCGGCAAUGGGGGGAACCCUGACCGAGCAACGCCGCGUGAACGAAGAAGUUAUUCGUAAUGUAAAGUUCUUUUAACAGGGAAGAAAGAGAAAUUUGACGGUACCUGAAGAAAAAGCAUCGGCUAACUCCGUGCCAGCAGCCGCGGUAAUACGGAGGAUGCGAGCGUUAUCCGGAUUUAUUGGGUUUAAAGGGUGCGCAGGCGGUCUGUUAAGUCAGCGGUCAAAGCCCGGGGCUCAACCCCGGCCCGCCGUUGAAACUGGCAGUCUCGAGUUGGAGAGAAGUAUGCGGAAUGCGCGGUGUAGCGGUGAAAUGCAUAGAUAUCGCGCAGAACUCCGAUUGCGAAGGCAGCAUGCCGGCUCCACACUGACGCUGAGGCACGAAAGCGUGGGUAUCGAACAGGAUUAGAUACCCGGGUAGUC
rnacentral:rRNA from 1 species